rnacentral:rRNA from 1 species
CAGCAGCCGCGGUAAUACAGAGGGUGCAAGCGUUAAUCGGAUUUACUGGGCGUAAAGGGCGCGUGGGUGGUUAUGUAAGUGAGAUGUGAAAUCCCCGGGCUCAACCUGGGAACUGCAUCUUAUACUGCGUAGCUGGAGUGCAGUAGAGGGUAGUGGAAUUUCCGGUGUAGCGGUGAAAUGCGUAGAUAUCGGAAGGAACACCAGUGGCGAAGGCGGCUACCUGGACUGACACUGACACUGAGGCGCGAAAGCGUGGGGAGCAAACAGGAUUAGAUACCCCAGUAGUCCCUGUCUCUUAUAA